rnacentral:rRNA from 1 species
AUUGAACGCUGGCGGCAGGCUUAACACAUGCAAGUCGAGCGGAGAUGAGGUGCUUGCACUUUAUCUUAGCGGCGGACGGGUGAGUAAUGCUUAGGAAUCUGCCUAUUAGUGGGGGACAACAUUCCGAAAGGAAUGCUAAUACCGCAUACGUCCUACGGGAGAAAGCAGGGGAUCUUCGGACCUUGCGCUAAUAGAUGAGCCUAAGUCGGAUUAGCUAGUUGGUGGGGUAAAGGCCUACCAAGGCGACGAUCUGUAGCGGGUCUGAGAGGAUGGUCCGCCACACUGGGAAGGAGACACGGCCGAGACUCCUACGGGAGGGAGCAGUGGGGAAUAUUGGACAAUGGGGGGAACCCUGAUCCAGCCAGGCCGCGUGUGUGAAGAAGGCCUUAUGGUUAUAAAGCACUUUAAGCGAGGAGGAGGCUACUGAGACUAAUACUCUUGGAUAGUGGACGUUACUCGCAGAAUAAGCACCGGCUAACUCUGUGCCAGCAGCCGCCGUAAAAC